CAAUAGCGUAUAUUUAAGUUGUUGCAGUUAAAAAGCUCGUAGUUGGAUUUCGGAUGGGAUUUGCCGGUCCGUCGUUACGAUGUGCACUGGCCAGUCCUAUCUUGUUGUCGGGGACUAGCUCCUUGGAUUCACUUCCUGGGACUAGGAGCUGACGAGGUUACUUUGGGUAAAUUAGAGUGUUCAAAGCAAGCCUACGCUCUGAAUACAUUAGCAUGGAAUAACACGAUAGGACUCUGGCUUAUCUUGUUGGUCUGUGAGACCAGAGUAAUGAUUAAGAGGGACAGUCGGGGACAUUCGUAUUUCAUUGUCAGAGGUGAAAUUCUUGGAUUUAUGAAAGACGAACUUCUGCGAAAGCAUUUGUCAAGGAUGUUUNCAUUAA
rnacentral:rRNA from 1 species